rnacentral:rRNA from 1 species
AGUGAACGCUGGCGGUAGGCCUAACACAUGCAAGUCGAACGGCAGCACAGUAAGAGCUUGCUCUUACGGGUGGCGAGUGGCGGACGGGUGAGGAAUACAUCGGAAUCUACUUUUUCGUGGGGGAUAACGUAGGGAAACUUACGCUAAUACCGCAUACGAACUACGGGUGAAAGCAGGGGAUCUUCGGACCUUGCGCGAUUGAAUGAGCCGAUGUCGGAUUAGCUAGUUGGCGGGGUAAAGGCCCACCAAGGCGACGAUCCGUAGCUGGUCUGAGAGGAUGAUCAGCCACACUGGAACUGAGACACGGUCCAGACUCCUACGGGAGGCAGCAGUGGGGAAUAUUGGACAAUGGGCGCAAGCCUGAUCCAGACAUACCGCGUGGGUGAAGAAGGCCUUCGGGUUGUAAAGCCCUUUUGUUGGGAAAGAAAAGCAGCAGGUUAAUACCCCGCUGUUCUGACGGUACCCAAAGAAUAAGCACCGGCUAACUUCGUG